GGGCCAAUUCAGCCAAAAUACACUUGUAUUACUCUCACAGAUUAGUUCUGCGAAGCUUUCAUUCGAACUUUCCUACCGAGAAAGUUAUAUAACAUGUCGAUCUUGUGGCAGUGUUGGUUUCACAGACAGCGAUCCUGGUGUCUACAGAGACGUUCCUCUAUAUCACUAUAUAUAAGCAUCCGAGAAGGACGCCGAGGUCAACCCUACAUCAGGAUAAAUUCUAUAUUGAAACGACAACAGCAAACUCGCCCUUGUUUGUUGGCAUAAAAAUGACACAAUCACAGCUAAGCAAGGCGUAAUAAACAGCUUUUCAAUCAUCUACUUCGACACAGUCCGCUAUAUAAGGAAAGCAUCUAACAUCAGCUGUCUUCGUAUCAUGGGCUACGAGGCAUCCUGCGCCGUCCGAUUCAGGGCUGACAGCUAUACGGCUGCCGCGAAUGGACACAGAACACAAUACGCGUAAUUGAGACCGGCGUAGCAGUUGGCUACGCUAUUACUCAUCACUCAUCAGUAUGGUACGGAUCAUUCUGUACAGCUCAUGAUCUGUAACGAUGAAUCGGUCAACGCCGUAUAACAUCGUCAUGUCUGGAUGUCGAAUAACGCCGCAUCGAUCCUUGAGAAUUACUCCUAGUUCAUCAGAGUCGCAUGAAAGUUGAUUGUUAUUUGUUUGUAUGUAUCGAUCUACGUAUGUUUGCAGUUGUAGGUAACUUCAGGACACGUGAUGGUCUAAGUUUGCGCACUUCAUUUCGCGCUGAAAAUGGCCAGGCGGAAGCGAUGCCUAACAAUUCAAAUAUCGGACGUCAAACACGAAGCAAAGCAAAAAACACUUGCAAAUAAAUUU